rnacentral:lncRNA from 1 species
ACUGGCAUGUCCUAUGUAUGCUUAGAAAUGAGGAUAGUUGAUCUCACAACCACUUGUGUGGUGACACUAAUACAAGGAUAUGGGUGCUCAUUAGAGAAUGAGUUCACUGAAUAGAUCUAUGAGAGAAUAUCAGAUGGAGUCUUAUUUACAUGUCAACUAAUAAUUCUCUAGUGGGAGUUGUGUAAGUGAUCUUUUGACCUGAGAUCACCAUUGUAUCUUGUGUACAUUGAUCCAUAUUUUGGUUCACUUCUUAACUUAAUUUUUUGAUCUUUAUAUGGGGUGUUCUAGAUGUGGUGAAGUAUGAAUGGAGGUUGUGAGUGAUCAAUAAGAGAUUAGUCACUCCUAAUAAGGGGAACGAAUAUCCUAUGUGAUCUCAUAGGUUGGUGAUUUUGGAAGUCUUUGGCCAAAAUAGGAUAAUAAUUAGAAAAAAAUUUUAAUAUAUCAUCAACUGAAUCAUCACCUUCAAAUUGAGAUACAUAAAAAUAAGUGAUUGAGUUUGAUAUAUUUUCAUGCCCACAGCUCAUCUGAGAUGUUGUUUGACUGAAAGAUUGAAUUACACGAUAACUUGCCACUAAAGGAUAAUUUGAUAAUUUUAUCAAAAAUUUAAAUCUUUCAGAU